rnacentral:lncRNA from 1 species
GGUGUGUGAAUUUUUUCUUAAUGAGAAUGUGGGGCAAUGUGGUAUACAGGGUAGACAAAUCAAAACUUUGAACAGAUUCAAAAUCACCAAUAUAAGCAUGCAAUUUAUCAAGUACUUCCAACGAGUUCUUGACACUCCAAAAGUAAUUUAUUCCACUAUUUUCGAAGGCCUUAUUUGAACAAUUUAUUAUCAGGUUUUUAAUUGUGCCAAGUGUGCUGGUAAGAAGAAUAGACAAUUUAGUAGUUGACCAAUGGCUUAAAGACGAAAUAAAUAUAUAUUUGUAAGGGGUUUUGUGUAGCUUCGGAAGCCAAUACAUAGUUGGGACUUUCAUUGUAUUUGGCUCUGCUUGUAAAGCGGUGGCUAAAAGUUUAUGUUUGUUACAGAUUUCGUUUUCUGAAAAUGGAGUCAAUUG